rnacentral:rRNA from 2 species
AGCUUGCUCCCUGAUGUUAGCGGCGGACGGGUGAGUAACACGUGGGUAACCUGCCUGUAAGACUGGGAUAACUCCGGGAAACCGGGGCUAAUACCGGAUGGUUGUUUGAACCGCAUGGUUCAAACAUAAAAGGUGGCUUCGGCUACCACUUACAGAUGGACCCGCGGCGCAUUAGCUAGUUGGUGAGGUAACGGCUCACCAAGGCAACGAUGCGUAGCCGACCUGAGAGGGUGAUCGGCCACACUGGGACUGAGACACGGCCCAGACUCCUACGGGAGGCAGCAGUAGGGAAUCUUCCGCAAUGGACGAAAGUCUGACGGAGCAACGCCGCGUGAGUGAUGAAGGUUUUCGGAUCGUAAAGCUCUGUUGUUAGGGAAGAACAAGUACCGUUCGAAUAGGGCGGUACCUUGACGGUACCUAACCAGAAAGCCACGGCUAACUACGUGCCAGCAGCCGCGGUAAUACGUAGGUGGCAAGCGUUGUCCGGAAUUAUUGGGCGUAAAGGGCUCGCAGGCGGUUUCUUAAGUCUGAUGUGAAAGCCCCCGGCUCAACCGGGGAGGGUCAUUGGAAACUGGGGAACUUGAGUGCAGAAGAGGAGAGUGGAAUUCCACGUGUAGCGGUGAAAUGCGUAGAGAUGUGGAGGAACACCAGUGGCGAA